UAUAGAUCUUGCCAUCUUUGUUUGCCAGGUGAUCAGUCAUUUAAAGUAUUUGAGAAACUUGAAGGGAAGCACAUGGCAAAGCCAUAAUUACCUUUUAGUUAUAUUUCAAGUUGUAGGAAAGUUGGAAUCAAUCUGGAAAGCAUCUUUCUAUUGCAGAUAUUUUAUUAGUGGCUUGAAGACUUACACUAUGUUUGAUGUUACAGAAAUAGUGAGGUUAUGCCACAAUGCUGAUAGACUUGGUACUUGUAGGAUGGAGAGGAGAAAACUGAAAAGGAUGUUCAUAUGAGGAAUCCAAGGAAGUGGAAGAGGAAGAAAGUUCUGAUGAUGGUGAUAAUUAGAAUAUCAAGUUUGACGACGAUGAUGAUUGGAACCAAGAGGAGGAAGUACCUGCCGCUAAAACCCACCAAAGAAUUAGCAAGAAAAUUGAUGGUGGGAGCUAGCAAUGCCGGCAGUGCCUCCUUUAGGAUUACAAAAUCGUUAAUCCUAUCUUCGCUUGCAUGUGACUGAUGGUGAUGCUACACAAGUUCUGAAGGCAGUGCCCUCCCCUUCAGCGGGUAACAAGGAUAUAUUAAAAACAUUUUAACUUUCUGACAUAUUAGUUCAACAUUUUUUGCAUAGUACCUAGCAAAAUCAGAAAGUGCACAAACAGAUCUCAUCAAUAUUUUGUGUUUUGCUUGUUCAGUCUUUUGAGGUAACUUCUAUUGUGUAUUCCAUUCUCUUCAGGAGAUCUUGCUGGUUCUGCAUGGCACAACUGGAUUAAAUAUGCUACAGCAAGCGAAGGAGUUCAACGAUGUUGUUGGAAUCAAAGGAUUCAUCCUAACGAAAUUAGACAGGACUGCUCGUGUUGGCUGUGUGGUGAGUGUUAAUAGACGAACUUGGAGUUCCAGCCAAGUUUGUUGGCGUCGGCGAAGGGGUGAAGAUCUCCAACCUUUUGAUGCAGAAGCAUUUGUUGAAGCCAUUUUCCCAUAAAUUUGACCCAGUUAUUAGCGUUUCUCAUGUAACAAGAUUUUGGCUAACAUGCUACUCCCUUCGUUUCUAAAUAUAUGACUUUUUAGGAAUUCUAAUAUGGACUACAUACGAAGAAAAAUGAGUGAAUCUACACUCUAGAAUAUGUCUACAUUCAUCUGUAUGUAGUCCAUAUUCAAAUCACUAAAAAGACCUAUAUUUAGGAGUGGAGGGAGUAGAACUUGGUAGAAGCAAUUAUUUCAACAAUUACAGUUUUUUUGGUUCAGUCGUCGACUCAUCUGCCUGACUUGUUUCUGUCGUUGAUCCUAACUAUUCAUACAGAAACAGAAGCAAGUAUUUGUGAUAUUAUAUGUUUCUUGUGAUUAAGCUCAAGGCACGUUGCAGAUACAUUGAGCAAGAGUACUAACAGAGAAGAGGAAUUUUUCUUUUCAGACUAGCAUGAUACAAGAAUAUUUCAUUAAUAGUCAUACAUUCAUAACAUAUAUCUUGAAUCAUAAAUGCUUCCACGUUCGAUUUUGAGUCCUAAGAAAAAAGAUCCUCAUGUGAAACUUCUUAAGAUGAAAGUACUUCCAUGUUGGAUCUUUUUUCUUAAUUAGGUGAUAUCAUUUGAUACCAUGCUUGAUUUGUACUACUACUUAAAAAUUAG